rnacentral:rRNA from 1 species
GACGAACGCUGGCGGCGUGCUUAACACAUGCAAGUCGAGCGAUGAAGCACCUUCGGGUGUGAAUUAGAGGCGAACGGGUGAGGAACACGUGAAGAAUCUGCCUUCAACUCUAGGAUAACUCCGGGAAACCGGGGCUAAUACCGGAUAUGAGCCUUGAUCGCAUGAUCGGGGCUGGAAAGUUUUUCGGUUGAAGAUGACUUCGCGGCCUAUCAGGUUGUUGGUGAGGUAAUGGCGCACCAAGGCGACGACGGGUAGCCGGCCUGAGAGGGCGACCGGCCACACUGGGACUGAGACACGGCCCAGACUCCUACGGGAGGCAGCAGUGGGGAAUAUUGGGCAAUGGAGGAAACUCUGACCCAGCGACGCCGCGUGAGGGAUGAAGGCCUUCGGAGUGUAAACUGCUUUUAAUAGGGAAGAUUAUGACGGUACCUAUAGAAUAAGGACCGGCUAACUACGUGCCAGCCGCCGCGGUAA